AAAUCGGGAAAUUUUUCGAAGUACAAAACUACUAAUGUCAUCCAUCCGGGAGGUUGGUAAUUUAUAUUUACUAGAGUGGCUAAUGCCAUUACCGACACUUCAAAAUACCUGGAUAUUAAUUCGAUGUUUGAGUUUUUAUCAUUCGUUUUUUCAUCUGGCAUGAUGUCCAUUUGGUUAAUAAUAAAUUGUGUUUCUGCUAAAUGUACGGUCGCAUGAUGGGCGAAAUGUACGGUCGCAUGAUGGGCGUACACACAUUCUACAUCGUUUAUUAUCGUAUUUGAAAACGGUCGCAUGAUGGGCGUACACACAUUCUACAUCGUUUAUUAUCGUAUUUGAAAUUUUGGUAAACAUUCCAAACAACUCUCUGUAAUAGUUUGGAUACGAUGAAAUAUAUACAUUAUUUACUAAUUUUCUCAUUAUUGAUGUCUUAUCCAUAUCGUAAAAAUUUAAAUCAAUGUUUAAUAAUGAAAAACGAUGAGAUAUAUAUGUGUGUAUAACUAGAAAUUCAUCAGUGUAGAAUUCCCACCCCAUUGGAAUUCUUGGUGAGAAAUUAUUGCGGAAUUUGAUUUUUUUUUUUUCCGUAUAUUUAUUUCCUAAGAGAUCAUUAAAUUCUACUUUCUUUACGUAGGAUAAUAUCGAUUUAUUUCGAUGCAGUACAAAAUUUAUUCCCAAUAUUAGAUUAUCUUUUAUAUCCAUCGUGAUU